GACGAAGGGGGCUAGCGAUGUUCGGAAUUACUGGGCGUAAAGGGCGCGUAGGCGGCGUCGUAAGUCAGGCGUGAAAGGCCCGGGCUCAACCCGGGAACUGCGCUUGAUACUGCGGCGCUCGAGUCCGGGAGAGGAUGGCGGAAUUCCCAGUGUAGAGGUGAAAUUCGUAGAUAUUGGGAAGAACACCGGUGGCGAAGGCGGCCAUCUGGACCGGUACUGACGCUAAUGCGCGAAAGCGUGGGGAGCAAACAGG
rnacentral:rRNA from 1 species